rnacentral:ncRNA from 1 species
GGAAAAGUGAUGAUGAGGACAUGGGUGUAUUUUUACGGUUUCCAGAGAGGGAAGGCUAGGCUGGAACCUUCCUAACACGAAGAAUGCACUUACCACCUCGGAACUUCACCUGUGAAAGGCUUGUGUGAGUAAUAGGUGACGGAGAAGGCGCCGUUAUGCUAUUCGAGCCAUCGCUGUUCGCGAUGGGAAGAAGGGUGGAACCACGAAACAAACUCGUCCCUUGU